UACUGUCCUGGUCAUCUAAAGAAACAGCGCUCAGCAGCUGCUACAAGCACAUAACAGCAGCAUAGCUGCAGCAUCCCAUACCUGGCAGUAACAGCCCCCAAAAACACCAACCAAACACUCCAUGUUACUUUCAAAAUGAGAAAAAAGAUUAUUGCAAGGAUUUAAUCAUGAUUACUUUUCUAUGAUAUUUUGUAUUACUUAAUCUCAGACAAGAUUACCUACUAACUUAUUAUUUCUAAAACAUUCUACUAUUGCCAACGCAUAAAUCCAAAGCCUAGACAUAUGAUGUGUUUUCAUCUCUUCAUUGUAUGUUAGUCAUCAUACAUUGAAAGUAUUUUAUUUCUAUCCUUAUCUACACAAGGUGUUUUCUCUUAUAUCAAUACCAUGACAUCAGAAAGUUUUUCUAUAUAUAACAGUUUGUUCAAAUUAAUUAUUUAUAGAUUAAGCUUACUUAUUUGACACUUAAUGUUUAAGCUUUUUAAACAAAAGUCAUAGAGACAAGACAACUUUUAACUAGCCAAACCAUUAAGUAAAAUUCUUGGUAAACCCUUAGAGUUGUGACACGUAAAAUCUAUAUAUAGUUCAAGACACCUCAUAUCUUAUAGUGAUUUUAUAGUUCAAUACAUACGAGCCACAUGCUGAUUCAUAUGUGCUACACACUUAGUAGCAAGUAAUUGAGGCUGCAACUAACAAUAAGAAAACCAAUUAGAAGCAAAUGAAAAGGCAAAUAAGAUAAAAUUGGGAUGGUAACAACGAUCUCAGCAAAGGAAAUUACAUCAGGGUGCUCAAUUACAAACGCAUGCUUUGUCAUUCUAUUUUUAUGCUCUUUUAAACUACAAAACAAUCAUUCAAAGCAUUCCACCUUUAGUAAAUUCCGAGUUGACAACAACACAUUAGUAAACCUAGGAAAAGGAGUUCGUAAGUUCAUACAUGGUCUGCAAAAUAGUUGUAUUCCAAGGAUCAAGUUCCCGACAAAUAACUCAGGAAUGACACUUGUAAUAUUCAUCGCAUGGACCUUGUUUUACCAAACCAUUAAUACUCUUCAUUAGUGUAUAAAAAUUAGGAAUUAAUUUGAUAUUAAAAAAAUGAUAUCAA
rnacentral:lncRNA from 1 species